UACAGAGGUCCCGAGCGUUGUUCGGAUUCAUUGGGCGUAAAGGGUGCGUAGGUGGCGCCGUAAGUGGGGUGUGAAAUCCCGGGGCUUAACCCCGGGACUGCAUUCCAUACUGCGGUGCUUGAGGACUGGAGAGGAGACUGGAAUUUACGGUGUAGCAGUGAAAUGCGUAGAGAUCGUAAGGAAGACCAGUGGCGAAGGCGGGUCUCUGGACAGUUCCUGACACUGAUGAACGAAAGCCAGGGGAGCAAACGGG
rnacentral:rRNA from 1 species